rnacentral:rRNA from 1 species
GAUGAACGCUGGCGGCGUGCCUAAUACAUGCAAGUCGAGCGAACGGACGAGAAGCUUGCUUCUCUGAUGUUAGCGGCGGACGGGUGAGUAACACGUGGAUAACCUACCUAUAAGACUGGGAUAACUUCGGGAAACCGGAGCUAAUACCGGAUAAUAUUUUGAACCGCAUGGUUCAAAAGUAAAAGACGGUCUUGCUGUCACUUAUAGAUGGAUCCGCGCUGCAUUAGCUAGUUGGUAAGGUAACGGCUUACCAAGGCAACGAUGCAUAGCCGACCUGAGAGGGUGAUCGGCCACACUGGAACUGAGACACGGUCCAGACUCCUACGGGAGGCAGCAGUAGGGAAUCUUCCGCAAUGGGCGAAAGCCUGACGGAGCAACGCCGCGUGAGUGAUGAAGGUCUUCGGAUCGUAAAACUCUGUUAUUAGGGAAGAAUAUAUGUGUAAGUAACUGUGCACAUCUUGACGGUACCUAAUCAGAAAGCCACGGCUAACUACGUGCCAGCAGCCGCGGUAAUACGUAGGUGGCAAGCGUUAUCCGGAAUUAUUGGGCGUAAAGCGCGCGUAGGCGGUUUUUUAAGUCUGAUGUGAAAGCCCACGGCUCAACCGUGGAGGGUCAUUGGAAACUGGAAAACUUGAGUGCAGAAGAGGAAAGUGGAAUUCCAUGUGUAGCGGUGAAAUGCGCAGAGAUAUGGAGGAACACCAGUGGCGAAGGCGACUUUCUGGUCUGUAACUGACGCUGAUGUGCGAAAGCGUGGGGAUCAAACAGGAUUAGAUACCCUGGUAGUCCACGCCGUAAACGAUGAGUGCUAAGUGUUAGGGGGUUUCCGCCCCUUAGUGCUGCAGCUAACGCAUUAAGCACUCCGCCUGGGGAGUACGACCGCAAGGUUGAAACUCAAAGGAAUUGACGGGGACCCGCACAAGCGGUGGAGCAUGUGGUUUAAUUCGAAGCAACGCGAAGAACCUUACCAAAUCUUGACAUCCUUUGACAACUCUAGAGAUAGAGCCUUCCCCUUCGGGGGACAAAGUGACAGGUGGUGCAUGGUUGUCGUCAGCUCGUGUCGUGAGAUGUUGGGUUAAGUCCCGCAACGAGCGCAACCCUUAAGCUUAGUUGCCAUCAUUAAGUUGGGCACUCUAAGUUGACUGCCGGUGACAAACCGGAGGAAGGUGGGGAUGACGUCAAAUCAUCAUGCCCCUUAUGAUUUGGGCUACACACGUGCUACAAUGGACAAUACAAUGGGCAGCGAAACCGCGAGGUCAAGCAAAUCCCAUAAAGUUGUUCUCAGUUCGGAUUGUAGUCUGCAACUCGACUACAUGAAGCUGGAAUCGCUAGUAAUCGUAGAUCAGCAUGCUACGGUGAAUACGUUCCCGGGUCU